rnacentral:rRNA from 1 species
GAUGAACGCUAGCGGCAGGCCUAACACAUGCAAGUCGAGGGGGAGGUUACUUUCGGGUAGCUGAGACCGGCGUACGGGUGCGUAACGCGUAUACAAUCUGCCUUUCACUGGGGGAUAGCCCGACGAAAUUUGGAUUAAUACCCCAUAGUAUAGUAAUACGGCAUCGUGAUGCUAUUAAAGCUUAGUUGGUGAAAGAUGAGUAUGCGUUCUAUUAGCUGGUUGGGGGGGUAACGGCUCCCCAAGGCGAUGAUAGACAGGGGUACUGAGAGGGAUGUCCCUCGCAUGGGUAGUGGGUUACCGACCAGGGGACUACGGGACGGAGCAGUGAGGAACAGUAGACAAUGGUGGGAAGUAUGAUCCAGCCAUGCAGCGUGCAGGACGAAGGUCUUAUGGAUUGUAAACUGCUUUUGUAAGGGAAGAAUAAGGGUUACGCGGAGUUUGAUGACGGUACCUUACGAAUAAGCAUCGGCUAACUCCGUG